GAAGAACCUUACCUACCCUUGACAUCCAGAGGAUUUUCCAGAGAUGGAUUAGUGCCUUCGGGGACUCUGAGACAGGUGCUGCAUGGCUGUCGUCAGCUCGUGUUGUGAAAUGUUGGGUUAAGUCCCGUAACGAGCGCAACCCCUAUCCUAUUGCCAGCGAUUCGGUCGGGAACUCUAAGGAGACUGCCGGUGACAAACCGGAGGAAGUGGGGAUGACGUCAAGUCAUCAUGGCCCUUACGGGUAGGGCUACACACGUGCUACAAUGGGGAGUACAGAGGGAUGCGAAGCGGCGACGUGAAGCCAAUCCCAAAAAGCUCUCCUCAGUCCGGAUUGGAGUCUGCAACUCGACUCCAUGAAGUCGGAAUCGCUAAUAAUCGCGAAUCAGAAUGUCGCGGUGAAUACGUUCCCGGGCCUUGUACACACCGCCCGUCACACCAUGGGAGUGGAUUGCACCAGAAGUGGCUAGUUUAACCUUCGGGGGAACGGUUACCACGGUGUGGUUCAUGACUGGGGUGAAGUCGUAACAAGGUAAGCGUAGCGAG
rnacentral:rRNA from 1 species